UAUCUGCCGAACGCCGACAGCGGCGAGCGAGGCGCAGGGUGAGGCGACGGCCGGCGCGGGUCUGCCGCGGCGCUGCGGGCCGCGAGCCUCGACGGCGCGCGCCCCCGCUGUCCCGCUCGCACCAUCGGCCGAGCUGGACCGUCGGACCUAGGGACCCAGCCGCGCCUGGCGCCGUCGUCCGCGUGCCGGCUCCCCGCGCCCGCGGGCGAGAGGGGCUCCGGGGUCGUCGGCGUGCUGGCACUGUGCCGCCGCGGCCAGCACUUUGUCAUCGCUCCCGUCGUCGUUCCUCUCGUGACUCCACCAUGCGCCUUGCCCCCUCCCUGCAGGCAUCAUCCCUUAUUCCCUUUACCCUUUUGACGAUGCGCUCUCCUAUAGCCUCUGCUCUGCUGUCGCACGGCCGAUGAGGGCAGCGCUGCCCUUCGGUGGCGCGACUCGCUGAUGAGAACUGUACCACGACGCGGCGGCAUGCUGCACUGCUGAUGAGGUCGGCGCGGCUCACUAACGAGGGCCACGCUGUGCUAUGUCUGAGCUGCCCACCGGGCACCAACCUCCAGAUUUGAGUUCCCUGCUUCCCUCAGGUGUCUCAUCCAUAUGGAUGAUGCACGGUAUGUAUUUGAUGGUUUGCCCGUGAAAAACUAAUCAGUGACCUUGUCCAUGAAGGUGCACGCCAAUUACACACAACCUGGCCUGCAGCAGGGUAGCGAUGGUGCAUGACACACCGACUGUCUGCACUGCUAUAGCAGCUAGCAGCACAGAGGUUAGUAGCAGGUAGCAAGCAACAGUGCAGUAGGAUUGUAGGAGUCUUGAUUUGUUUUUAAAAAAGGUAGGAGUUCCAAAUUAGUACUCAGCAAGAAGAUGCAAGCAAAGUAAGGUAUAUAAACACAAUGCACUUUGUACUUUUCCAACUGCUUUAUUUCUACUUUCUGAUGUUCAUUUUAAUAGUUGAGUAAUGACCCACUAUUUGUCAUGAAUCCUUAGAUUUCCAACUUAAACAAAAGAAAACCCAUCACAUGUUAUGUAAAAUUUAGGCAAUGAGUACCAAUACAUUUUGAUGUCUUUUUUUUAUUCUGUGUUCCUGUAUAAACUGAUUUAAACUAACCAACUAUACAUGAAACCGCAAUUUGAAACAUUUGAUGGAUUGCAGCAGAUAAAGCUCCCUGUGCCAUUAUUUUUAGCAUAGUUCCCUGUGUCAUUUAAUGAUGUGCCUUUAAGCUUCAUUUCGAUUGGUUCUCCACAAGCAAGGAUAUAUAAUUUGAAACAUUUGAUUGAUUGGUUCGAUAACAUGCCAGGCAAUGAACUCUAAUGCUUGGAUUAUUACACGUUCACUUUUAAAAUUGUUUUCUUACUCUGCAAUACCAAGAUAACUUAGCUCAAUUGCUAGCUACCUGCUUGCCUUUAUAAUGCAUGAAGGUAUGUUUCUAGGUAACCUUUUUGCCUCCAAACCAUGAUACAUGAAUAGUUGAACACUGAGUUCUAAAACAACAUAUUUACCAAAAUGCUAAUUGGAUAUGACAUAAAAGUAGAGCUUAGGCAUAGAGAUAUGUUGGGUCCAAAGUUUGGAAAGUAAGGAAAUAUAUCAUUGUAACUUAAAUAAGUUACUACAGCCAAUAAAUUUCUUAUCAAAUUCCUAGCAGUGCUAUUUCUCUAGGUCUUGAAUGAUAAUGUAGAUGUCUAUAAAAGUAAGGCAGUAUUCACCGUUGGUACUAUGUUAUGCACGUAUGCUAUUCUUUUUUUAUUGGUCCUCCAAAAGCAUGUUGAGAGAUAGUGUCUUCAUGCUGCUUAAGACAUUGGCAGGUAACAUGAGUUACUUUUCUUCAGUCUGUUAUUGCUUGCUCAUGCCUCUUCUUAUUUUCAUGUUUCAUUCUUUGGGUUGGCAUUCCUGUAAUACAUGCUAAAAGGGUAAAAAAAAAAAGACACCAGGCCUGAUACGUACUCCAUGUACAUGUUAGCAACCUAUUGUUAUCGAACUGUCACAUUUGAGAUUAUUAAAUAUAUUGAGUUCUAGCCCUCCUACUUCUGAUGAGUUUCACUAUGCUUAUUGUCUGAACGCAAAAAUAGAGAAUCCUUCUCAUCAGUAAAUAAAGAUUAUCAUACAGUUAAUUGCAGAAUAAUUAGUUCCACUUAGGGAAAGUAAUGCUGAAUUCAGUAAAGGUUAUUCAACGGCGCGCCCAAUUAAUCAUGACUUAUUGUUAAAUUUAUAGUCCGUGUCCAAAAUACCAUUGCUAUAUUUCAAAUAAUUUGAAUUUCUUGCAGAACAAUCAUCAUGCUUGGGGGACUGUGAUGGAAUUUAUCUAUCUCCGCUUACCAGUUCCAUUGCUCAAUUCUACCUCCGUCCCAAAUUACAAUUAGUCACCCCAUAAUAUGUGACCAUGUUUGAUAGAUUUCUAACAUCAUAUUUGCUCUAAGCAUGAAUGCUCACUCAAGUGGCUGUUACUGAGCUUGACAACUCACUCAAGUGGCUGUGCAAGAUGAAGUCAUGAUGACUCAGUAACCCAGCUUGCAACUAGAGUAUAUUUGUUGCUGCUAAAAUGUAAGAAUGGGAUGUCCAUAAGAAAAAAAAAUGAAUUGCGCCUUGAGUGAGCUAGAAUAGCACAAGCAACUUUACUUUUCUGUACUAAGCUUUUCUUUCUAUGGUCAUGUAGUGGAAAUAUUAGAUAUAAACAAAAAGUUAUGUUCUUCAGGCAAAGAUUCCUUUUCAA